CGUAACAAGGUCUCCGUAGGUGAACCUGCGGAGGGAUCAUUACACAAAUAUGAAGGCGGGCUGGAACCUCUCGGGGUUACAGCCUUGCUGAAUUAUUCACCCUUGUCUUUUGCGUACUUCUUGUUUCCUUGGUGGGUUCGCCCACCACUAGGACAAACAUAAACCUUUUGUAAUUGCAAUCAGCGUCAGUAACAAAUUAAUAAUUACAACUUUCAACAACGGAUCUCUUGGUUCUGGCAUCGAUGAAGAACGCAGCGAAAUGCGAUAAGUAGUGUGAAUUGUAGAAUUCAGUGAAUCAUCGAAUCUUUGAACGCACAUUGCGCCCUUUGGUAUUCCAAAGGGCAUGCCUGUUCGAGCGUCAUUUGUACCCUCAAGCUUUGCUUGGUGUUGGGCGUCUUGUCUCUAGCUUUGCUGGAGACUCGCCUUAAAGUAAUUGGCAGCCGGCCUACUGGUUUCGGAGCGCAGCACAAGUCGCACUCUCUAUCAGCAAAGGUCUAGCAUCCAUUAAGCCUUUUUUUCAACUUUUGACCUCGGAUCAGGUAGGGAUACCCGCUGAACUUAAGCAUAUCA
rnacentral:rRNA from 1 species